rnacentral:rRNA from 1 species
AAACCAACCGGGAUUACCCCAGUAACGGCGAGUGAAGCGGUAAAAGCUCAUCCUUGAAAUCUUCGGAAUUGUAAUCUAAAGGACUUUGGCGCUAGGUAAAAAGUUCCCUGGAAUGGGACGCCGCAGAGGGUGAUAGCCCCGUAACCAAAGCACUACUCCAAAGUUCCUUCGAGUCGGGUUGUUUGGGAAUGCAGCUCAAAGUGGGUGGUAAAUUCCAUCUAAAGCUAAAUAUUGGCGAGAGACCGAUAGCGAACAAGUACAGUGAUGGAAAGAUGAAAAGCACUUUGAAAAGAGAGUGAAACAGUACGUGAAAUUGUUGAAGGGGAAGGGUUGGGCGUUAUGUUAAGAAUGUUUUGCCAAGUGGAGAAAAAAAGAGAUCUGGUCCUCUCGACCGGAUCCCAAAUAUCCGCUUCGCGAAUAUUUGGAAUGGCGUCCAAUCGC